rnacentral:tRNA from 1 species
GGCAGAGUAGUGUAAUGGGUAAGGAGCUGGUCUUGUAACCUAUAGGUCACGGGUUCGAUUCCCGGGUAGGACA